UCUAUUUGAUUAGAAAGCAUGCUUGGACUUGAAACCAGUCAGUAAGUCAGCAUGGUAGUGAGUUAUUUCAGAUUUGUUCGGAUUGUGUGUUGCGAAUUACGAUUGUAUUUGUGAUGGAAUAGUUACAUUAUGGUGGAUAUUUUGUAAAGAUGAUGCUCUAAUUAAGGUUGGGCUAUUUCCUUCAACCUCUUUAGCUGCCCCUCUGAUCCUGUAGGACUACGAUGAUGGGAUUUCCGGUGAAGCCCAAUAAGUAGAAAUCUUCAUGAAAUAAGCGUCAUAAUUCCAGCAGAAUUCUUCAGUGUGAGUAAAAACAACUUGUGAAACCGAAGAGAGAUAUAUGGCUGUUAUACCGGAAUAAUCAAUUCGCAAUGAAGGAGGGAAUAAUC